GUGGGGAAUAUUGCACAACGGGCGCAAGCCUGAUGCAGCCAUGCCGCGUGUAUGAAGAAGGCCUUCGGGUUGUAAAGUACUUUCAGCGAGGAGGAAGGCAUUAAGGUUAAUAACCUUGGUGAUUGACGUUACUCGCAGAAGAAGCACCGGCUAACUCCGUGCCAGCAGCCGCGGUAAUACGGAGGGUGCAAGCGUUAAUCGGAAUUACUGGGCGUAAAGCGCACGCAGGCGGUCUGUCAAGUCGGAUGUGAAAUCCCCGGGCUCAACCUGGGAACUGCAUUCGAAACUGGCAGGCUAGAGUCUUGUAGAGGGGGGUAGAAUUCCAGGUGUAGCGGUGAAAUGCGUAGAGAUCUGGAGGAAUACCGGUGGCGAAGGCGGCCCCCUGGACAAAGACUGACGCUCAGGUGCGAAAGCGUGGGGAGCAAACAGG
rnacentral:rRNA from 1 species